AAUGCGCCUCGUCAAUUGGCCCGGCUACAUCAGGCUGCAGCGGCAAGGAGCCAUCCUCUAUAAGCGGCUCAAAGUACUUCCUGCCAUUAACCAGUUCACCAUGACCCUGGACAGGCAAACAGCUAUUCAGCUGCAUAAGCUUGCUCACAAGUACAGAUCGGAGAAAAAGCAAGAGAAGAAGCAAGGGCUACUGGCCUGUGCUGAGAAGAAAGCUGCUGGCAAAGGCAACAGCCCAACAAAGAGACCACCUGACCUCCGAGCAGGGGUCAAUACAGUCACCACUUGGUGGAGAACAAGAAGGCUCAGUUGGUGGUGACUGCCCAUGACAUAGACCCCAUUGAGCUGGUGGUUUUCCUACCUGCAGUGUGCCGAAAGAUGGGGGUGCCCUACUGCAUCUUUAAGGGAAAGGCCAGGCUGGGGCACCCCGUCUACAGGAAGACAUGCACCACUGUUGCCUUCACACAGGUUAACUCGGAAGACAAGGGUGCUCUGGCUAAGCUGGUGGAAACUAUUAGGACCAAUUAUAAUGACCAGAUCUGCUGCCACUGGGGAGGCAACAUCCUGGGUCCUAAGUCUGUGGCUUGCAUUGCUGAGCUGGAAAAGAAAA
rnacentral:lncRNA from 1 species